AUCCAAAGCAAAGAGACACACUUGAAGUCCCCCUCUUCUCAACUGUGUUUGCAGCUAUGGAUGCGAGGAGCAAGGCUUAUCUGUGCCUUUCACUGCUGCUUCUACUAUCUGCGAAUCCUACAUCUGCAGAGCAUAUUUGCUUCGAUGUGACCCACGCAAAGUUUCCAGUCUGUUUUGGUGCCAUGUGCAAGGGGGUGUGCGAGUUUGACAUGAAAUACGCGUAUCGCAAUGUGCCGCAUAUCGCUCUCCAGGAUCACAAGUGUAUAAAUCACUGGCCAAAGAAGCAAUGCAAAUGCUUUUUCUGCGCGGAUAUCUGAUAGUCAGCUCCCCAGAUAGGAUUUCUGGUUUCUUUAGUUAGUUAUUGUCACCCCAAGAAUGAUUUAAUAAUUUAGGAUGGACGAGCUAGUUUUAGUGUCUUUCUCAAGUGUGCUCUCUCUAUAUGUUAGGAUUUGAUUAAUAAGGUACUACUAGUUAGAUCAGUUAUUGUUCUAGGCUCUGUUUGCAUCUGUACUUGUUGCUUCAGUGAUAUUAAUGAUAGUUUGUUUUUAUUA